rnacentral:rRNA from 1 species
GGCUCACCUAGGCGACGAUCCCUAGCUGGUCUGAGAGGAUGACCAGCCACACUGGAACUGAGACACGGUCCAGACUCCUACGGGAGGCAGCAGUGGGGAAUAUUGCACAAUGGGCGCAAGCCUGAUGCAGCCAUGCCGCGUGUGUGAAGAAGGCCUUCGGGUUGUAAAGCACUUUCAGCGGGGAGGAAGGCGUUAAGGUUAAUAACCUUGGCGAUUGACGUUACCCGCAGAAGAAGCACCGGCUAACUCCGUGCCAGCAGCCGCGGUAAUACGGAGGGUGCAAGCGUUAAUCGGAAUUACUGGGCGUAAAGCGCACGCAGGCGGUCUGUCAAGUCGGAUGUGAAAUCCCCGGGCUCAACCUGGGAACUGCAUUCGAAACUGGCAGGCUAGAGUCUUGUAGAGGGGGGUAGAAUUCCAGGUGUAGCGGUGAAAUGCGUAGAGAUCUGGAGGAAUACCGGUGGCGAAGGCGGCCCCCUGGACAAAGACUGACGCUCAGGUGCGAAAGCGUGGGGAGCAAACAGGAUUAGAUACCCUGGUAGUCCACGCCGUAAACGAUGUCGAUUUGGAGGUUGUGCCCUUGAGGCGUGGCUUCCGGAGCUAACGCGUUAAAUCGACCGCCUGGGGAGUACGGCCGCAAGGUUAAAACUCAAAUGAAUUGACGGGGGCCCGCACAAGCGGUGGAGCAUGUGGUUUAAUUCGAUGCAACGCGAAGAACCUUACCUGGUCUUGACAUCCACAGAACUUUCCAGAGAUGGAUUGGUGCCUUCGGGAACUGUGAGACAGGUGCUGCAUGGCUGUCGUCAGCUCGUGUUGUGAAAUGUUGGGUUAAGUCCCGCAACGAGCGCAACCCUUAUCCUUUGUUGCCAGCGGUUAGGCCGGGAACUCAAAGGAGACUGCCAGUGAUAAACUGGAGGAAGGUGGGGAUGACGUCAAGUCAUCAUGGCCCUUACGACCAGGGCUACACACGUGCUACAAUGGCAUAUACAAAGAGAAGCGACCUCGCGAGAGCAAGCGGACCUCAUAAAGUAUGUCGUAGUCCGGAUUGGAGUCUGCAACUCGACUCCAUGAAGUCGGAAUCGCUAGUAAUCGUAGAUCAGAAUGCUACGGUGAAUACGUUCCCGGGCCUUGUACACACCGCCCGUCACACCAUGGGAGUGGGUUGCAAAAGAAGUAGGUAGCUUAACCUUCGGGAGGGCGCUUACCACUUUGUGAUUCAUGACUGGGGUGAAGUCGUAACAAGGUAACCGUAGGGGAACCUGCGGUUGGAUCACCU